AGAGAGCCUUUUAUGUCGGUGUACAGAAAGGGUUUCGGUGGGGUUGCGUCUAUGUGCGCGGUAGAUGAGUACAACUUUCGCUCGUAUUUCUUAGAGCAUUGAAGUUGUUGUCGAGAUAUUUUAUAUGAAGCGACUCAUAAAUGGAAUUAAAUAAAAUAACAGAAAGAUCUGCUAGUUCAAAAGUAAGGAAAGGUUUACUGCAGCUGUGCAAACUAAGGAUAGGACCCAAAUCCAGACAGAAACAAGGAGAAUAGGCCAUCUUCCCUGGAUCCGCUACACGCAAAGGGGAAAAGGGGUCCCUGAACAAUGUGCAAGUUUGCAAAGCAGAAGCACCAGCCUUUCUGAUGGCUCAUCCAUUUAAACUUCCAGAUUUACUGCUUGUUGGGGGCAUGAAGUAUGUGUGACCUUGGAGGACUAUAUUCUAGUGUCUGGCCAAAGGAUAGCAACUGAUUAGAAUAAUAUGAAAAACAAACCAUUAGAGCAGUGAUUCCCAAACUUUUCCCCCACAGACCACUUGAAUAUUGCUGAGGGUCUUGGUGGACCACUGAAUGAUUUUUUUUUUUGCCUGUUGUAGCAAUUGUGAUGCAUUGUGCUAGAUGCUGUAGGAUUCUAGCCUCCUAUUAACUUUGCUGCUAGUCCUCUCCAUUCCUUACAGAUGUCUCCUUCCCCGCAUCACUUCCGGUCCAUCCUGGUCACUGUCUGGGUAGACCACCAGGUUCUAAGAAUGAUGGAGCAGCCACCAUACCUGCCAUUCACAGCUACUCCUCCCACCAUUCUUCACAGGCAUGCCAUGGACCUCUGAAUGAAGCUCAUGGACCAUUGGUGAUUCCUGGAGCUUAGGUUGGGAACCUCUGCAUUAGAGAUUAUGUGUCAUUUCCCACAUAUUAAGUUGGGAAAAUGGAGUUUUGGGGGGCACCUGUAUUUCACAGGGAGCCAUGACCAAGCAAGAGUCCCCUGAUGCUCAUGUUUCUGUUGCAUUUGUUUAUUUGUACACUGCGCUCAACAUCUAAGGCCCUCCUCCGAGUACCAUCCCAUCGAGAAGCUCGGAGGAUAAUGACUAGAACUAGGGCCUUUUCAGUGGUGGCCCCCAAACUGUGGAAUAGUCUCCCUGAUGAGGUGUGCCUGGCGCCGACGCUGCUAUCUUUUCGGCGCCAGGUGAAAACUUUUUUAUACUCCCAGGCAUUUUAAAUUGUAUCUUAUGUGUAUUUUAUAGUGUAUUUUAACAAUAUUGCAUUAUUGUUUGUAUUUUGGUGUAGUUUGGUUCUUUGCUUGUUUGUUUGAUUCUGUUAUAUCUAUUGUAUUUAUAUA